rnacentral:rRNA from 1 species
GCGUAAAGCGCACGCAGGCGGUCUGUCAAGUCGGAUGUGAAAUCCCCGGCCUCAACCUGGGAACUGCAUUCGAAACUGGCAGGCUAGAGUCUCGUAGAGGGGGGUAGAAUUCCAGGUGUAGCGGUGAAAUGCGUAGAGAUCUGGAGGAAUACCGGUGGCGAAGGCGGCCCCCUGGACAAAGACUGACGCUCAGGUGCGAAAGCGUGGGGAGCAAACAGGAUUAGAUACCCUGGUAGUCCACGCCGUAAACGAUGUCGACUUGGAGGUUGUGCCCUUGAGGCGUGGCUUCCGGAGCUAACGCGUUAAGUCGACCGCCUGGGGAGUACGGCCGCAAGGUUAAAACUCAAAUGAAUUGACGGGGGCCCGCACAAGCGGUGGAGCAUGUGGUUUAAUUCGAUGCAACGCGAAGAACCUUACCUACUCUUGACAUCCAGAGAACUUAGCAGAGAUGCUUUGGUGCCUUCGGGAACUCUGAGACAGGUGCUGCAUGGCUGUCGUCAGCUCGUGUUGUGAAAUGUUGGGUUAAGUCCCGCAACGAGCGCAACCCUUAUCCUUUGUUGCCAGCGGUUCGGCCGGGAACUCAAAGGAGACUGCCAGUGAUAAACUGGAGGAAGGUGGGGAUGACG